rnacentral:rRNA from 1 species
GAUGAACGCUAGCUACAGGCUUAACACAUGCAAGUCGAGGGGCAGCAUGACCUAGCAAUAGGUUGAUGGCGACCGGCGCACGGGUGAGUAACACGUAUCCAACCUACCGGUUAUUCCGGGAUAGCCUUUCGAAAGAAAGAUUAAUACCGGAUAGUAUAACGAGAAGGCAUCUUCUUGUUAUUAAAGAAUUUCGAUAACCGAUGGGGAUGCGUUCCAUUAGUUUGUUGGCGGGGUAACGGCCCACCAAGACAUCGAUGGAUAGGGGUUCUGAGAGGAAGGUCCCCCACAUUGGAACUGAGACACGGUCCAAACUCCUACGGGAGGCAGCAGUGAGGAAUAUUGGUCAAUGGACGAGAGUCUGAACCAGCCAAGUAGCGUGAAGGAUGACUGCCCUAUGGGUUGUAAACUUCUUUUAUAUGGGAAUAAAGUGAGCCACGUGUGGCUUUUUGUAUGUACCAUACGAAUAAG